GGGCGUAAGCGUACGCAGGCGGUUUGUUAAGCUGAGAUGUGAAAGCCCCGGGCUCAACCUGGGAACUGCAUUUCGAACUGGCAAACUAGAGUGUGAUAGAGGGUGGUGGAAUUUCAGGUGUAGCGGUGAAAUGCGUAGAGAUCUGAAGGAAUACCGAUGGCGAAGGCAGCCACCUGGGUCAACACUGACGCUCAUGUACGAAAGCGUGGGGAGCAAACAGGAUUAGAUACCCUGGUAGUCCACGCCGUAAACGAUGUCUACUAGAAGCUCGGAGCUUCGGCUCUGUUUUUCAAAGCUAACGCAUUAAGUAGACCGCCUGGGGAGUACGGCCGCAAGGUUAAAACUCAA
rnacentral:rRNA from 1 species